rnacentral:rRNA from 1 species
CACGUAGGCGGCUUGGUAAGUCAGAUGUGAAAGCCCGGGGCUUAACCCCGGAAGUGCAUUUGAUACUGCCAAGCUUGAGUAUGGGAGAGGGAAGUGGGAUUCCUGGUGUAGAGGUGAAAUUCGUAGAUAUCAGGAGGAACACCGGUGGCGAAGGCGACUUCCUGGACCAAUACUGACGCUGAGGUGCGAAGGCGUGGGUAGCAAACAGGAUUAGAUACCCUGGUAGUCC